rnacentral:rRNA from 1 species
UUCCAGACUCCUACGGGAGGCAGCAGUGGGGGAUAUUGCACAAUGGGGGAAACCCUGAUGCAGCGACGCCGCGUGGGUGAAGAAGCGCCUCGGCGCGUAAAGCUCUAUCAGCAGGGAAGAAGAUGACGGUACCUGACUAAGAAGCCCCGGCUAACUACGUGCCAGCAGACGCGGUAAUACGUAGGGGGCAAGCGUUAUCCGGAUUUACUGGGUGUAAAGGGAGCGUAGACGGCGAUGCAAGCCAGAUGUGAAAGCCCGGGGCUCAACCCCGGGACUGCAUUUGGAACUGUGUGGCUGGAGUGUCGGAGAGGCAGGCGGAAUUCCUAGUGUAGCGGUGAAAUGCGUAGAUAUUAGGAGGAACACCAGUGGCGAAGGCGGCUUACUGGACUGUAACUGACGUUGAGGCUCGAAAGCGUGGGGAGCAAACAGGAUUAGAUACCCUGGUAC